rnacentral:rRNA from 1 species
UCAGCAGCCAUAGCACCUGCAGGUCAGCCUAUGUCAGCCAUCUGCAUCUGCUUAGCCUAUGUCAGCCAACUAAGCAGGUUUGGGCCUGGCCAGUUCUUGGAUGGAAGAUUAACUAGGAAAGCUGGGAUGCUGCUGAAA